UACAGAGGGUGCGAGCGUUAAUCGGAAUUACUGGGCGUAAAGCGCGCGUAGGCGGCUUUGCAAGCCGGAUGUGAAAUCCCCGGGCUUAACCUGGGAACUGCAUUUGUGACUGCAUGGCUAGAGUUUGUCAGAGGGGGGUGGAAUUCCACGGUGUAGCAGUGAAAUGCGUAGAUAUGUGGAGGAACACCGAUGGCGAAGGCAGCCCCCCUGGGAUGUGACUGACGCUCAUGUACGAAAGCGUGGGGAGCAAACAGG
rnacentral:rRNA from 1 species